rnacentral:rRNA from 1 species
GCAUGUAGCAUGUCAGGUCGAGCGGACAGAUGGGAGCUUGCUCCCUGAUGUUAGCGGCGGACGGGUGAGUAACACGUGGGUAACCUGCCUGUAAGACUGGGAUAACUCCGGGAAACCGGGGCUAAUACCGGAUGGUUGUUUGAACCGCAUGGUUCAGACAUAAAAGGUGGCUUCGGCUACCACUUACAGAUGGACCCGCGGCGCAUUAGCUAGUUGGUGAGGUAACGGCUCACCAAGGCAACGAUGCGUAGCCGACCUGAGAGGGUGAUCGGCCACACUGGGACUGAGACACGGCCCAGACUCCUACGGGAGGCAGCAGUAGGGAAUCUUCCGCAAUGGACGAAAGUCUGACGGAGCAACGCCGCGUGAGUGAUGAAGGUUUUCGGAUCGUAAAGCUCUGUUGUUAGGGAAGAACAAGUGCCGUUCAAAUAGGGCGGCACCUUGACGGUACCUAACCAGAAAGCCACGGCUAACUACGUGCCAGCAGCCGCGGUAAUACGUAGGUGGCAAGCGUUGUCCGGAAUUAUUGGGCGUAAAGGGCUCGCAGGCGGUUUCUUAAGUCUGAUGUGAAAGCCCCCGGCUCAACCGGGGAGGGUCAUUGUAAACUGGGGAACUUGAGUGCAGAAGAGGAGAGUGGAAUUCCACGUGUAGCGGUGAAAUGCGUAGAGAUGUGGAGGAACACCAGUGGCGAAGGCGACUCUCUGGUCUGUAACUGACGCUGAGGAGCGAAAGCGUGGGGAGCGAACAGGAUUAGAUACCCUGGUAGUGCACGCCGUAAACGAUGAGUGCUAAGUGUUAGGGGGUUUCCGCCCCUUAGUGCUGCAGCUAACGCAUUAAGCACUCCGCCUGGGGAGUACGGUCGCAAGACUGAAACUCAAAGGAAUUGACGGGGGCCCGCACAAGCGGUGGAGCAUGUGGUUUAUUUCGAAGCAACGCGAAGAACCUUACCAGGUCUUGACAUCCUCUGACAAUCCUAGAGAUAGGACGUCCCCUUCGGGGGCAGAGUGACAGGUGGUGCAUGGUUGUCGUCAGCUCGUGUCGUGAGAUGUUGGGUUAAGUCCCGCAACGAGCGCAACCCUUGAUCUUAGUUGCCAGCAUUCAGUUGGGCACUCUAAGGUGACUGCCGGUGACAAACCGGAGGAAGGUGGGGAUGACGUCAAAUCAUCAUGCCCCUUAUGACCUGGGCUACACACGUGCUACAAUGGGCAGAACAAAGGGCAGCGAAACCGCGAGGUUAAGCCAAUCCCACAAAUCUGUUCUCAGUUCGGAUCGCAGUCUGCAACUCGACUGCGUGAAGCUGGAAUCGCUAGUAAUCGCGGAUCAGCAUGCCGCGGUGAAUACGUUCCCGGGCCUUGUACACACCGCCCGUCACACCACGAGAGUUUGUAACACCCGAAGUCGGUGAGGUAACCUUU